ensembl:lncRNA
CCUGCAUUACCCUGUGUAACACACAACAAAAUGGACAACGUAACCAUUAAUGUGUUAGACAGCAAAGGCAAUGUUGUCAUGCUAACGGUACACAUUUACUUAAUGAACAAGAAUAUACAGGAAAUAAUUCUUGAGUGACACUGACCACAUCUACAAUCUUCUCUCCAAACAGCUCUCCUCAGUGGCCCAGCUUGUGCUGCAAAGCUUCUCCAACCUCCUAUUCCAUGUCCCACUACCUCCACUAGGUCGCCGACACCCCUAAACCUCAGUUUUGUGAAACCACCAUCCACCAGCCAGUGCCCCAUUACUACCACUAGGCCCCCUGUACUACUUACCUCCACUGUCAAGGACCCACCACCUUCCACUCUGCAACCUGGUGCAGUGUGUGGAAACCCUUCAGCAUCCAUUCAACCUUCAUUCCCUUCCUUCCAGUCAGACAGGCAUGAAUCUCAAGGUAUUGCAUCAAAUACUGUAAGGAAGAUAAAUGGCAAUACUGUUGUUAAAUUACAUAAUUUUCUUUGUUGAUCUAUUUCUCUCCUUAUCCCCUCCAUUUUACAGAAAUAACACAUACAAUGACACUAUUUCUACUGGACCUUACAAAAACUCAUCAGCACCUUUAUUUUCGGAACAAAAUGGCAUUCUAUAAAAAAAUACAAAACUUAUUCUCACUAAAGGGCUACAACUUGUCAAGUGAGAAAAUUCGAAAAAAAACUAGCAAACAUGUUAACUACUUAUAAGAGAGUGAAAGACAGGCGCCGUGCAACUGGGGAAGGGAAGAUCACCUGGGAGUACUAUACACUAAUGGAUGAGUUAUUUGGGUCAUCGGGGAUCGGUACUGCACCACCUGGCACCAUUCACUCCACACCUCUGGGUUUGGAAGAGACCUCUUCCACAAGCAGGCCCACAACGUCUUCUCUUCAAGAACAGCCGGUAGGUGCUAGUAUGGAUGAACAGCCAGGAACUGCUACCAUACAAAAUGCAAACAUCACAAGAAGGCAAAGACGACCACAACCCUUACAAUUCCUGGACGCUUAUGAAGAGCAUGCAGAGAGAAGGACUGCUGUGCUUGAGUCCCUGGUAAGGCCAGAUCUGGAGUGAUGGCGGCGACUUAAGGAGAGGCGGAGAAGGUCCUUCGAAAAAAAGAUGGUGACCAGCUUGGGAACAAUUGUGGAGGAGCUAAAAAACAUGGGGAAAAGACAAGAGCAAAUUAUGCAUCUAUUACAGAACCCACAUAAACCCCAAUAAAAUUAUAAUCUAAA